AACGAACGCUGGCGGCAGGCUUAACACAUGCAAGUCGAGCGGGUGUCCUUCGGGGCAUCAGCGGCGGACGGGUUAGUAACGCGUGGGAACGUGCCCUUUGCUCCGGAAUAGCCCUGGGAAACCGGGGGUAAGACCGGAUGUGCCCUGAGGGGGAAAGAUUUAUCGGCAAGGGAUCGGCCCGCGUCCGAUUAGGUAGUUGGUGGGGUAACGGCCCACCAAGCCGACGAUCGGUAGCUGGUUUGAGAGGAUGAUCAGCAACACUGGGACUGAGACACGGCCCAGACUCCUACGGGAGGCAGCAGUGGGGAAUCUUAGACAAUGGGGGCAACCCUGAUCUAGCCAUGCCGCGUGGGUGAUGAAGGCCUUAGGGUCGUAAAGCCCUUUCGCCGGGGAAGAUAAUGACGGUACCCGGUAAAGAAGCCCCGGCUAACUCCGUGCCAGCAGCCGCGGUAAU
rnacentral:rRNA from 1 species